rnacentral:rRNA from 1 species
AACGAACGCUGGCGGCAGGCCUAACACAUGCAAGUCGAGCGCCCCGCAAGGGGAGCGGCAGACGGGUGAGUAACACGUGGGAACGUGCCCGAAGGUACGGAACAACUCCGGGAAACUGGAGCUAAUACCGUAUGUGACCGAGAGGUGAAAGAUUUAUCGCCUUCGGAUCGGCCCGCGUCUGAUUAGGUAGUUGGUGGGGUAAAGGCCUACCAAGCCUACGAUCAGUAGCUGGUCUGAGAGGAUGAUCAGCCACACUGGGACUGAGACACGGCCCCGACUCCUACGGGAGGCAGCAGCGGGAAAUCUUGGACAAUGGGCGCAAGCCUGAUCCAGCCAUGCCGCGUGGACGAUGAAGGCCAUAGAGUUGUAAACUCCUUUCGUCAGGGACGAUAAUGACGGUACCUGAAGAAGAAGCCCCGGCUAACUUCGUGCCAGCCGCCGCCGUAA